AACGAACGCUGGCGGCAUGCCUAAUACAUGCAAGUCGAACGAUCACUUCGGUGGUAGUGGCGCACGGGUGCGUAACGCGUGGGAAUCUGCCCUUGGGUUCGGAAUAACGUCGGGAAACUGACGCUAAUACCGGAUGAUGACGUAAGUCCAAAGAUUUAUCGCCCAGGGAUGAGCCCGCGUAGGAUUAGCUAGUUGGUGGGGUAAAGGCUUACCAAGGCGACGAUCCUUAGCUGGUCUGAGAGAAUGAUCAGCCACACUGGGACUGAGACACGGCCCAGACUCCUACGGGAGGCAGCAGUAGGGAAUAUUGGACAAUGGGGGCAACCCUGAUCCAGCAAUGCCGCGUGAGUGAUGAAGGCCUUAGGGUUGUAAAGCUCUUUUACCCGGGAUGAUAAUGACAGUACCGGGAGAAUAAGCCCCGGCUAACUCCGUGCCAGCAGCCGCCGUAA
rnacentral:rRNA from 1 species